UACUAGAGUAGCACUCGCAUAUCAAUAAGCGGAGGAAAAGAAACUAACAAGGAUUCCCCUAGUAACGGCGAGUGAAGCGGGAAGAGCUCAAAUUUGAAAUCUUAAAGGGUUUCCCUUUACGAAUUGUAGUUUAAAGAAGUGUUUUCUGUUGAGGUUUUGGUAAAAGUUCUUUGGAAUAGGACAUCAUAGAGGGUGAGAAUCCCGUAUUUGACCUUUACUUUCAACUUUGUGAUACACUUUCAAAGAGUCGGAUUGUUUGGGAAUGCAGUCCAAAAUGGGUGGUAAAUUUCAUCUAAAGCUAAAUAUUGGCGAGAGACCGAUAGCGAACAAGUACCGUGAGGGAGAGAUGAAAAGAACUUUGAAAAGAGAGUUAAACAGUACGUGAAAUUGUCAAAAGGGAAGCGUUUGACACCAGUGUUGUUUUUCUGAAAAUCAAUUAAAGAACUGUUUAUGCUAAGCUGUUUAGACUUUAUCAGCUAUCUGUUUAGUUUUGAGCUUUUCUUUAAUGCACUUUUCAGUUAACAAGUCAACAUCAAUUUCUUUUGCUGUAAAAAAGCUUGAGGAAGGUGGCUUGAGAUUCGUCUUAAGUGUUUAUAGCCUCUUGCCUAUGCAGUCGGAGAGAUUGAGGUCUGCAGCGUAGAUCCUUCGGGGCUAAAUGCAUUUGUGCUAAGUUAUAGCAUUUCAUAGACAACUUGUUGACUAUGAUUUGUCUUGUAGCUUACUCGCUUAUGUUAUUUUACCUACGCUUAGGAUGUUGAUCUACAGAGCGAGAG
rnacentral:rRNA from 1 species